UACGUAGGGGGCAAGCGUUGUCCGGAAUCAUUGGGCGUAAAGAGCGUGUAGGCGGUCCGGUAAGUCCGCUGUGAAAGUCAAAGGCUCAACCUUUGAAUGUCAGCGGAUACUGCCGGGCUAGAGUCCGGAAGAGGCGAGUGGAACUCCUGGUGUAGCGGUGGAAUGCGCAGAUAUCAGGAAGAACACCAACGGCGAAGGCAGCUCGCUGGGACGGAACUGACGCUAAGGCGCGAAAGCGUGGGAGCGAACAGG
rnacentral:rRNA from 1 species